rnacentral:rRNA from 1 species
UACAGAGGUCUCAAGCGUUGUUCGGAUUCAUUGGGCGUAAAGGGCGCGCAGGCGGCUCGGAAAGUCGGGUGUGAAAACUCGGGGCUCAACCCCGGGCGUGCAUCCGAUACUGCCGGGCUUGAGGCAGGUAGGGGAGAUCGGAAUUCCUGGUGUAGCGGUGAAAUGCGCAGAUAUCAGGAGGAACACCGGUGGCGAAGGCGGGUCUCUGGGCAGUAACUGACGCUGAGGAGCGAAAGCGUGGGGAGCGAACAGG